UACGUAGGGUGCGAGCGUUGUCCGGAAUUAUUGGGCGUAAAGAGCUUGUAGGCGGUUUGUCGCGUCUGCUGUGAAAAUCCGGGGCUCAACCCUGGACCUGCAUUCGAUACGGGCAGACUAGAGUUCGGCAGGGGAGACUGGAAUUCCUGGUGUAGCGGUGAAAUGCGCAGAUAUCAGGAGGAACACCGGUGGCGAAGGCGGGUCUCUGGGCCGAUACUGACGCUGAGGAGCGAAAGCGUGGGGAGCGAACAGG
rnacentral:rRNA from 1 species